UACAGAGGUGGCAAGCGUUGUUCGGAAUUACUGGGCGUAAAGGGCGCGUAGGCGGUUCGUUAAGUCCUGUGUGAAAUCCCCCGGCUCAACUGGGGAACUGCACAGGAAACUAGCGGGCUUGAGUUCGGGAGAGGGAAGCGGAAUUCCGGGUGUAGCGGUGAAAUGCGUAGAUAUCGUGAGGAAGACCAGUGGCGAAGGCGGGUCUCUGGACAGUUCCUGACGCUGAGGCGCGAAGGCCAGGGGAGCAAACGGG
rnacentral:rRNA from 1 species